GAGCGGAAGGAGCUUCCCGGCCCCGGCGACGAAGAACUCGCGACUUUCCUGCGCCUUCCUCCACCUCCUCGCCGCCUCCGCCUCCCGCCCCUAAUCCUCCGAUGCAGCCGUCCCCAACGAUCCAAUCGGAAAAUCGGCCCUGCCGUCUUCCCCGCCCCCGUCCCCGUCUUCUCCGUCCGCCUCCUCUUCGGUCGCUACCUUCCUCGCAGUGCCCGGCUACUGCUGAGGCCCCAGGAGAUCUUGCUGCAGCUCGCGACAGAAGCAAGCAAGUAGAGAACGGAGACGAUGAGCCAAUGGCCCAGCCGGUGCUUCCCACCCGCUGGUGUGCUGCUUUCUUUCGAUGAAGAUCAGAAUCCAUUGAAAAUGGACAAAAGAUCCAGAUCGGUUCAUAAAACUGAAAAAGUGAGCGGAUUCUUUUAGGCGUUGUUUGAUUAGAGGAUCUUCAGAGUAUUCAAGGGAUUGGCCGCACAGAUUCGUUGCGUUAUUUCCUUAGGAAGCAUAGUUCAUGUUCUUUGCUUCAUGCACCUGAAUUCUUUAAGAUACGGGGCCAUGGCGCCCAUGACUA